rnacentral:rRNA from 1 species
CAGAACGAACGCUGGCGGCGCGUUUAAGCAUGCAAGCGAGCGGCAAGGGCCUUCGGGCCCCAGAGCGGCGGACGGUGAGUAACACGUGGACAACCUGCCUCAUAGAGAGGAAUAGCCUUCCGAAAGGGAGAUUAAUACCUCAUAACAUUGCAGUUUCGCAUGGAACAGCAAUUAAAGGAGCAAUCCGCUAUGAGAUGGGCCCGCGGCGCAUUAGCUAGUUGGUGAGGUAACGGCUCACCAAGGCGACGAUGCGUAGCCGACCUGAGAGGGUGAUCGGCCACAUUGGGACUGAGACACGGCCCAGACUCCUACGGGAGGCAGCAGUGGGGAAUAUUGCACAAUGGGGGAAACCCUGAUGCCAGCAACGCCGCGUGAGUGAUGACGGCCUUCGGGUUGUAAAGCUCUGUCUUCAGGGACGAUAAUCGACCGGUACCUGAGGAGGAAGCCACGGCUAACUACGUGCCAGCCGCCGC